CGCCCGUCACACCAUGAGAGUUGGUAAUACCAGAAGCACGUAUCUUAACCGUAAGGAGGGAGCGUACCAAGGUAGGAUUAGCGAUUAGGGUGAAGUCGUAACAAGGUAUCCGUACGGGAACGUGCGGAUGGAUCACCUCCUUUCUAUGGAGUAUUCGUAGAUUAAGAGAAAAAAGCUGAGUGAAACGAUAAAACAGCUUAUGAUUAUAUCUCGUUCUAUCUAGUUUUCAGAGAUUGUUUUUGCGGGCCAUUAGGCCCAAAACAAUUUCUGUAAAGAAAGUCGUUCUUUGAAAACUGAAUAUUAGAUGAAAAUAGACAUUUUAUUUUUCUUACGUUUAUAAACAAUAUAAAACGUAUUUAGUAACUUAAUUUAGAUUAAUACUAAGAAAACUAAAAUUUCAUUAAUUUUAUAGAUUAUCUAUAUAUGCAAUAGGUUUUUCUUUAGAAAGUAUAGUAAGGGCGUAUGGUGAAUGCCUUGGAAAAUGGAGCCGAUGAAGGACGCGACUACCUGCGAAAAGCGCCGGGGAGCUGGAAGUAAGCUUUGAUCCGACGAUGUCCGAAUGGGGAAACCCAGCACGAUUAAUCUCGUGUUAUCCAUAACUGAAUACAUAGGUUAUGUGAAGGGAACCUUGGGAACUGAAACAUCUUAGUACCAAGAGGAAAAGAAAACGAAUGUGAUUCUGUCAGUAGCGGCGAGCGAAAGCGGAACAGGCCAAACCGGUCUACGGGCCGGGGUUGUAGGACUCAUGUUAGAGUUACAAAGUUAGUGUAUAGCAGAAGCUGUUGGGAAGCAGCGCCGCAGAGGGUGAUAGCCCCGUAUGCGAAAUGCACUAACCUCGAGUGAGUAUCCUGAGUACGGCGGGGCACGAGAAACCCUGUCGGAAUCUACCCAGACCACUGGGUAAGCCUAAAUACUACCAUUUUACCGAUAGUGAACCA
rnacentral:sRNA from 1 species